rnacentral:ncRNA from 2 species
CAAUCAUCAAGAGUGGUGGAGGGACUGGCCCGAAGAAGCCCGGCAACCUACCUGAGUUUAGCAAGGUAAGGUGCCAAAUCCUGCAUUCUGGGGAAUCCGGAGUGAGAGAUGAGGG